CCUUUACACCCUCGCAUCGAUAUGACAGAUAUAAUUAUCACGAUGAUGACGAACGUGACAAUCCCAGCAGCCAGGUACACAUAGAUCAGUAAGCCUUCUGAUGAGUCAUCAUUAGAAUUUGAGCUGUUAGCUAGAAGAAGACAAGAUUUGACUCAGUAUGAAUAUAAAACACAAGAACAGAACAAAUGUACAGAGUUAAGAUAAAAGGUGAG